CCACUACAUUUUACCCAGAUGCACUGACUUGGUGAAGGGGACCCGCCUUGGUCAAGCUGGGACUCUGUCCCACCUCCAGGGUCUCCGAGGAAGAAGAAAAGUUGGCCUCCAGGCUCAGCCUGGGGCGGCUCCUCCCUCGGCCGCCACCCGGUCUUGGGGCUUGCCCGGGGGCGCUGCACCGCGCCGCGCCCCGCCGCGGCCGAGCUUUCCCCCUCGGCCGCCCUCCCUUCUCCCCCGGCGGCCGCGGCUUUAUGCGGCUCCUUGUCACUCCUGGAGAAUGCCUGUGCGAGGCCAGUGCUGCCACACGGCCGAUUACAUCCUUUGUAGCUAAUGGAUCUCUCCGGGCUCGGAGUCUGGGACAUUCCUCAGAAGCCUCCCCAUUAGGGGACUCAUUGGAUGACCCUCUUGUCCUUCGUGGGAAUGCUGAGAGUCAACCAAUCUCCUGCCAUAGCUCGGGGUUCCCACGUGGUGAUGGAGCAGGCUGCCCAACUGCCAGCCAUGGUAUAACCCCUCCUAGCUCUUGUCAAAGGUCUAUGAUCACUGGAAAACAAGAGGAAAUAGACUGUCCAGGAGAAUUGCUGCGUUUCACAAGUCACACAAGUCACACCAAUGGCAUGGGAAGAUGUCACAGUGGGUUAAGCUGCUUGUUCACAAGACCAAUGACCUCAGCUCCAUCCUUGGGACCCACAUAGCAGGAGAGGACUGACUCAGAAAAUCGUCUUCCGACCUUCACAUACACACCACGGCACACGCCUCACCCGAUAGAAAAACGUAACGUAAAAACCUUUUAAUUGAAAGAAUGCAUUGAACAUGUAUUGCUUAUGUCUUCAAAUGGAUAAUCAGACAAAAUAUGCUGGCCAGGGCUUAAGAAAUAAACAUGUCUUCAUCACCAGCGUGUAUAGUCUUAUUCAUCUUUUCUACGGUGUGACACAUACAUAUACAUCAUAUACAUCAUACACAUACAUAAACACACAUACACAUAGGUUCUGAGGGGCGGAGGUGUGGCUUAUCAUCCACGCAUAGAUGAAUGACGAGGAGGAGAUGAUCUAUGAAGCAGGAACUGAAGCUCCCUUUGCCCAGGUUUUGGGAACAAGUGUGAACUCUCUUAGCACAGCGCUCUGAGUUUAAGGACGUGCAGAAAACUGGUUGUAAAUUUCUCCAGCUAUCACUCUCGAGUUUCUUUUUCCUGCCUCUUAUAGCU